rnacentral:tRNA from 1 species
GGCUUGUGGCUCAGUGGUAGAGCGCUUGCUUAGCACUUGUGAGGCACUGCGUUCUAGCCUCAGCACCA